UGGAGGUGAUUUAAAUGCCA
rnacentral:misc_RNA from 1 species